AAAGGUCUUCAAACUAACUGAGGGACCCCAUUAUGCCAAGACUGGAGCUUGUCAUAAAAAUCAUCAGUCAUUGAUGUCUGUGAGCUUCUGAGUUGGGCCUUGAGGGAAAAGAACUGUGAAAUUUGGGUUCAAUUUAGUUGUUUUGAUCUGGACUUCUUUAUGAGUAGGGAGAAUUAAAUUGGCCACAUGUGACCUUGUAUUUAGAGGAAAUCAAAUCAUUCAAACAAGAUAAUUUAGCCCCUUGCUCAACAAUUCCUCCUUUUCUCUUCAACUCCAGGGUUAUUGAUUGAGGUCCUGCCUGAAUACAUUUUACUAGAGUUUAGAGAAUUGUAAUAGUUGCAUUGUUUCUCUGGUUACAACCUCAAAAUGCACUGCAGAUUUCUUCAACUGAAAUUGCUCCGAUGUUAAUAUGUUGUGGGAAUGAAAGACUGAUUUCAGCACUCAAGCUACACCAGAGGAAACAGCAGUGAGGAGAAACCAAGCAGCGAUCAUGGGACAAGAGGUCUUUUCUUCCUGUCUUCAUCUGCUGAUCUGCUCACCUGAUAUUCACUGAGUACCAAGUUUAUGCCAGGCUGAAGUCCUGGCUGGAAUGCUUCUUGUAUCAUAUCAUUGGAGAUUGGAAGAAUUGAGAUGUUUCUUGCUGUGGUUGUCCAACCCAGCUCUAGUUUGUCAGCCAGUAUUCUGCAUGCACAAAAGUAGUGUUUAAUCUAAGAAGACUCGAGGCAAGAGACACAGAUGUCACCUCCCUGGGGACACCACCUUUGGAUACUCAGACUGAAUCAGGGCCCUCAAGAUACCUUCCAACAACACCCUGCACUAGUCUACAGAGUCACCACACAUGGAAUGAUUCGUAAUUAUUUACUUCUUUGUUAAAAAAGUUAUCAACAAUGCUGUAUGCUCAGGGUUCUUACAUACUAGAUAAAGUCUGUCAAUGGCCUUUUAAAAAUCACUAAAUAAAAUAAAAUGAUAUGGCAAUGGAGAAA